UACGGAGGGUGCAAGCGUUAUCCGGAUUCACUGGGUUUAAAGGGUGCGUAGGCGGGCAGGUAAGUCAGUGGUGAAAUCCCCGAGCUUAACUUGGGAACUGCCAUUGAUACUAUUUGUCUUGAAUGUUGUGGAGGUAAGCGGAAUAUGUCAUGUAGCGGUGAAAUGCUUAGAUAUGACAUAGAACACCUAUUGCGAAGGCAGCUUACUACGCAACGAUUGACGCUGAUGCACGAAAGCGUGGGGAGCAAACAGG
rnacentral:rRNA from 1 species